rnacentral:rRNA from 1 species
UACGUAGGGGGCAAGCGUUGUCCGGAAUCAUUGGGCGUAAAGAGCGUGUAGGCGGUCCGGUAAGUCGGCUGUGAAAACCCGCGGCUCAACCGUGUGGUCUGCAGUCGAUACGGGCUGGCUGGAGUUCGGUAGGGGAGACUGGAAUUCCUGGUGUAGCGGUGAAAUGCGUAGAUAUCCGGAGGAACACCGGUGGCGAAGGCGGCUUCCUGGACCGACACUGACGCUGAGGCGCGAAAGCUAGGGGAGCAAACGGG